rnacentral:rRNA from 2 species
GGGUGAGUAACACGUGGGUAACCUGCCUGUAAGAUUGGGAUAACUCCGGGAAACCGGAGCUAAUACCGGAUAACAUUUUGAACCGCAUGGUUCAAAAUUGAAAGACGGCUUUUAGCUGUCACUUACAAAUGGACCCGCGGCGCAUUAGCUAGUUGGUGAGGUAACGGCUCACCAAGGCAACGAUGCGUAGCCAACCUGAAAGGGUGAUCGGCCACACUGGGACUGAAACACGGCCCAAACUCCUACGGGAGGCAGCAGUAGGGAAUCUUCCGCAAUGGACAAAAGUCUGACGGAGCAACGCCGCGUGAACAAUGAAGGCCUUCGGGUCGUAAAGUUCUGUUGUUAGGGAAAAACAAGUACCAAAGUAACUGCUGGUACCUUGACGGUACCUAACCAAAAAGCCACGGCUAACUACGUGCCAGCAGCCGCGGUAAUACGUAGGUGGCAAGCGUUGUCCGGAAUUAUUGGGCGUAAAGCGCGCGCAGGCGGUUUCUUAAGUCUGAUGUGAAAGCCCACGGCUCAACCGUGAAGGGUCAUUGGAAACUGGGAAACUUGAGUGCAGAAGAGGAGAGUGAAAUUCCACGUGUAGCGGUGAAAUGCGUAGAGAUGUGGAGGAACACCAGUGGCGAAGGCGACUCUCUGGUCUGUAACUGACGCUG